GAGGGUAUAGCUCAGUGGUAGAGCAUGUGCUUAGCAUGCACAAGGUCCUGGGUUCAAUCCCUGGUACCUUCG
rnacentral:tRNA from 1 species